UACAGAGGGUGCGAGCGUUAAUCGGAAUUACUGGGCGUAAAGCGCACGUAGGUGGCGACGUAAGUCGGGUGUGAAAGCCCCGGGCUCAACCUGGGAAUUGCAUUCGAGACUUCAUUGCUGGAGUACGGAAGAGGAAGGCGGAAUUCCCGGUGUAGCGGUGAAAUGCGUAGAUAUCGGGAGGAACAUCAGUGGCGAAGGCGGCCUUCUGGUCCAGUACUGACACUCAAGUGCGAAAGCGUGGGGAGCAAACAGG
rnacentral:rRNA from 1 species